CUCUUUGGAAUGCUUCUCUCCACCUCACCCCACCAAGAAUCCAGCCUACUACCUUCUAUCACAGGAGUUCUCUCCUAUCCAUAUUUCUGGUAAAGUGGAGCCUUUCAAGAACAUUUCUUGGAUGGAAAGCAUGAUCCGCGGUCAUUAAUUUUCUUGUUUUUCCCAUCAGAGACAAAGCUUUUAAAGAUAAAUCUAAGACCAUUUCAGCAUAAAGCUGCCCUGGAUAACUCAUCAAUAAAUGGCCUGCUGAUCAUUUCUUCUACAAGGCUCUAAUAAGGAUGGCUAAAGAAGAAUGGGAAUCCCCCAGUCACAAUUGUAAACAAGCUAGACUAGGAUUUCCUAACCUUGGGGAUUUUAAACUGGCUGGGGAAUUCUGGGAGUUGAAGUGCUUAAAGUUCCCGAGCUUAAGAAACAGUAGUCAUAAAGAACAUGAAGCAUGAUCAUGGCCAAAGAAAGGGAAGUGGAUGAAAUAUGGAAAGAAAUAACUUCACAUCCAGUUGAUUUGUGUACAUGAAACAUAAUAUCGAAGCAAAAAAAACUCGCCUCCAAAAGCUACGUACCUUUAAGAGCUUUUACACUACAGAUCUAAUGGCAAAACAAGGUCAAUACCUAAAUAUAAACAAUAUAUUUUGUGGAGCUUCUGGAAUACAGAGAUGCUACACCAGUAAAUUGUCUUUUGGGAAUGGGGAAGCAGCAAGCAGGGAUUCCAAAAUGCUCUUAUUGUGAUUUAAUUAAUUCAGAAUUCCAGAUAAUCUUUUGUAUAUAAAACAAUUUCAUGCUCUAGCUUGAAACAUCAUUGGGAUUUUAAGAAAAUAAAUUAUAUUGAUACAACAACAAAA